rnacentral:misc_RNA from 1 species
UUUCCGUAGGUGAACCUGCGGAAGGAUCAUUAUUGAAUAAACAGUGUGGGUUGUUGCUGGCCUUCUGGCAUGUGCACGCCUGCCAUAUGUUUCAUUCCCUUCUUUCCACCUGUGCACUAUGUGUAGGCUAUGUAUGCUGUAUUGUCAGGCCCUUCAUAAGGCUUGGUUUAGAGAGGAUGCUUGUCUUUAUGAGACAGGCUCAUCUUGGGCGUACAGGUCUAUGUUUUACACCAACACCAAAUGAAUGUCUUAGAAUGUAUUUUUUCAGGCUCUUGCGAGCCUUUAAACCAUAUACAACUUUCAACAACGGAUCUCUUGGCUCUC